CUGGAACAAUCGAGUUCAGCUUCUACUACACGAGGAGUUUCGAUGGACGCGUUCUACUUGAACAUGCAUGGCCGGCGUAUAUCCAACUUUCGGAUAUUGCAAAAUUUUUGGAUCAAGCAAGAGGACAUCUGGUGAUACCGCCAUUUCCCGAAACAAUGAUGGACAGUCAUUCUGUGAGCCUGGCCUUUGUAAUACAGUAGUCCAUGGUAAAAAAAAAAUCGAUUGAUUGGUGCCAUCGUUGCCAUUAGGGGUGUACCACGCUUAAAAACACGAAAAAACUGUGAAAAACGCUGGUAAUUUGUAGUGCUAUGUCCUUGCAUUCUUAAGCUACUUCUGGUAUUUCUAUUCUAGGAUGCGCCACAAUCAUUAGCGGUGAGAAACAAUAAAGUUAUUAUGACGUGUUUCUUUUGAAUUGUGGUCAAAAUCGAUGAGAAUAGUAUACCUAUGUUGAAACAUCGAGAAAACUCGGGAAGAUAUAACCAGCUGGAAAUUUUCCAAACUUCCUUUGGGGAAUGCCAACUUUCUGGUGUUUUUGUUUUUCUGAAAGUAUCCCGCGAAAACAAAGAAAAUGGCACUCAUGCGUUGCUUAUGCUACUAAAUGGUUCCAUAAAAAUGUCGAUGUAGUUACCCAACUCGAUCUAAUAAACCAACUACAGACAUUUCUUAAA